AGAGUUUGAUCCUGGCUCAGGAUAAACGCUGGCGGCGCACAUAAGACGUGCAAGUCGAACGAACUUAAUCGUUAGUUUACUAAUGAGGCGGUUAGUGGCGGACUGGUGAGUAACACGUAAGCAACCUGCCUAUUAGAGGGGAACAACAGUUAGAAAUGACUGCUAAUACCGCAUAUGCCAUAAGUAUCGCAUGAUACAAGUGGGAAAGGAGCAAUCCGCUAAUAGAUGGGCUUGCGUCUGAUUAG
rnacentral:rRNA from 1 species